GACGAACGCUGGCGGCGUGCUUAACACAUGCAAGUCGAACGGAAAGGCCCUGCUUUUGUGGGGUGCUCGAGUGGCGAACGGGUGAGUAACACGUGAGUAACCUGCCCUUGACUUUGUGAUAACUUCUGGAAACUGGGGCUAAUACCGCGUAGGAUCUCCUGCUGCAUGGUGGGGGUUGGAAAGAUUCGGCGGUUGGGGAUGGACUCGCGGGUUAUCCGCUUGUUGGUGGGGUAGUGGCUUACCAAGGCUUUGACGGGUAGCCGGCCUGAGAGGGUGACCGGCCACCUUGGGACUGAGAGACGGCCCAGAAUCCUACGGGAGGCAGCAGUGGGGAAUAUUGCGCAAUGGGCGGAAGCCUGAUGCAGCAACGCCGCGUGCGGGAUGACGGCCUUCGGGUUGUAAACCGCUUUCGCCUGUGACGAAGCGUGAGUGACGGUAAUGGGUAAAGAAGCAACGGCUAACUACGUG
rnacentral:rRNA from 1 species